UACGUAGGGAGCAAGCGUUGUCCGGAAUCAUUGGGCGUAAAGAGCGUGUAGGCGGCCAGGUAGGUCUGCUGUGAAAACUCGAGGCUCAACCUCGAGACGUCGGCGGAAACCAUCUGGCUAGAGUCCGGAAGAGGAGAGUGGAAUUCCUGGUGUAGCGGUGAAAUGCGCAGAUAUCAGGAAGAACACCCGUGGCGAAGGCGGCUCUCUGGGACGGUACUGACGCUGAGACGCGAAAGCGUGGGGAGCGAACAGG
rnacentral:rRNA from 1 species